rnacentral:rRNA from 1 species
GACGAACGCUGGCGGCGUGCUUAACACAUGCAAGUCGUACGGUAAGGCCCUUUCGGGGGUGCACGAGUGGCGAACGGGUGAGUAACACGUGAGUAACCUGCCCACCACUUUGGGAUAACUCUAGUAAACUGGCGCUAAUACUGGCUAUGUGCUCCUUCCUCAUGGAGGGGGGUGGAAAGCUCCGGGGGGUGGUGAUGGACUGGCGGCCUAUCAGCUUGUUGGUUGGGUGGUGGCCUGCCAAGGCGGCGACGGGUAGGCGGCCCGGGAGGGUGACCGGCCAAAGUGGGACUGGGGUACGGGCCAGACUCCUACGGGAGGCAGCAGUGGGGAAUAUUGCACAAAGGGCGGGAGCCUGAUGCAGCAACGCCGCGGGCGGGAUGACGGCCUUCGGGUUGUAAACCGGCUUCAGCAUGGACGAAGCUUUUUGUGACGGUACCUGCAGAAGAAGCACCGGCUAACUACGUG